rnacentral:rRNA from 1 species
UACGAAGGGGGCUAGCGUUGCUCGGAAUCACUGGGCGUAAAGCGCACGUAGGCGGAUCUUUAAGUCAGGGGUGAAAUCCUGGAGCUCAACUCCAGAACUGCCUUUGAUACUGGGGAUCUCGAGUCUGGAAGAGGUGAGUGGAACUCCGAGUGUAGAGGUGAAAUUCGUAGAUAUUCGGAAGAACACCAGUGGCGAAGGCGGCUCACUGGUCCGGUACUGACGCUGAGGUGCGAAAGCGUGGGGAGCAAACAGG